rnacentral:rRNA from 1 species
UGCGUAGGUGGCGUCGUAAGUCGGGUGUGAAAUCUCGGGGCUUAACUCCGAAACUGCAUUCGAUACUGCGGUGCUUGAGGACCGGAGAGGAGACUGGAAUUUACGGUGUAGCAGUGAAAUGCGUAGAGAUCGUAAGGAAGACCAGUGGCGAAGGCGGGUCUCUGGACAGUUCCUGACACUGAGGCACGAAGGCAGGGGAGACGAAACG